rnacentral:rRNA from 1 species
GAAAGAUUCAUCGGAAGAGGAUUGGCAUGCGGCGCAUUAGCUAGACGGCGGGGUAACGGCCCACCGUGGCGACGAUGCGUAGGGGUUCUGAGAGGAAGGUCCCCCACACUGGUACUGAGACACGGACCAGACUCCUACGGGAGGCAGCAGUGAGGAAUAUUGGUCAAUGGGAGAGAUCCUGAACCAGCCAAGCCGCGUGAGGGAAGACGGCCCUAUGGGUUGUAAACCUCUUUUGUCGGAGAACAAAACCCGGGACGUGUCCCGGACUGCGUGUAUCCGAAGAAAAAGCAUCGGCUAACUCCGUGCCAGCAGCCGCGGUAAUACGGAGGAUGCGAGCGUUAUCCGGAUUUAUUGGGUUUAAAGGGUGCGUAGGCGGUCCGUUAAGUCAGCGGUAAAAUUGCGGGGCUCAACCCCGUCGAGCCGUUGAAACUGGCAGACUUGAGUUGGCGAGAAGUACGCGGAAUGCGCGGUGUAGCGGUGAAAUGCAUAGAUAUCGCGCAGAACUCCGAUUGCGAAGGCAGCGUACCGGCGCCAGACUGACGCUGAGGCACGAAAGCGUGGGGAUCGAACAGGAUUAGAUACCCUGGUAGUCCACGCAGUAAACGAUGAAUGCUGGUUGUCCGGGUCGAAUGAGAUCUGG